rnacentral:rRNA from 1 species
GAUCCCUGGCUCAGAUUGAACGCUGGCGGCAGGCCUAACACAUGCAAGUCGAGCGGCAGCACGGGUACUUGUACCUGGUGGCGAGCGGCGGACGGGUGAGUAAUGCCUAGGAAUCUGCCUGGUAGUGGGGGAUAACGCUCGGAAACGGACGCUAAUACCGCAUACGUCCUACGGGAGAAAGCAGGGGACCUUCGGGCCUUGCGCUAUCAGAUGAGCCUAGGUCGGAUUAGCUAGUUGGUGAGGUAAUGGCUCACCAAGGCGACGAUCCGUAACUGGUCUGAGAGGAUGAUCAGUCACACUGGAACUGAGACACGGUCCAGACUCCUACGGGAGGCAGCAGUGGGGAAUAUUGGACAAUGGGCGAAAGCCUGAUCCAGCCAUGCCGCGUGUGUGAAGAAGGUCUUCGGAUUGUAAAGCACUUUAAGUUGGGAGGAAGGGCAUUUACCUAAUACGUAAGUGUUUUGACGUUACCGACAGAAUAAGCAC